rnacentral:lncRNA from 10 species
GAGGAAAAACCUGUCAACCUGAAUUUCAUAACUAGUAAAAGUGUCCUGAAUUGUCCCGAAUGAAGCCAAGUGAAUUACCUGGAUCAUCUGAUCUGUGGAAGCACUGGUUUGGAUAAGUUAGGCUCCAACAUGUGUCAGAGGGACAGCAGAGUGUGAUCGGGACCCAGCCUGCCUGAGUCCAAUUUCUGACUCCAUCUCUCACUAGCCGAGUGAACUUGGGCAAGUUCCUCAGUUUCUCUCUGCCUCAUCUUUUCAUCUCUAACAUGAAGAUGAUAAUAUCCACCUCACAUGGGUAUUUUAUGGAUUAAGUGAAUUAUUUGAUUUCCAACAGUCUGAGGAUUUUCUCGGUAUCGUAGAGACGGGGUUUCACCGUGUUGGCCAUGGUUGGCCAGGCUGGUGUUGAACUCCUGACCUCAGGUGGUCUGCCCCGCAUUGGCCUCCCAGAGUGCUGGGAUUACAGGCGCUAGCUACUAUGGAUAAACUGCUUAGGUUUAGAUUCUAAUUCUAAAC